GACAGAGGGUGCAAACGUUGUUCGGAAUCACUGGGCGUAAAGCGCGUGUAGGCGGCCGGAUAAGUCGGGCGUGAAAGCCCACGGCUCAACCGUGGAAGUGCACUCGAAACUAUUCGGCUGGAGUCCUGGAGAGGAAGGUGGAAUACUCGGUGUAGAGGUGAAAUUCGUAGAUAUCGAGUGGAACACCGGUGGCGAAGGCGGCCUUCUGGACAGUGACUGACGCUGAGACGCGAAAGCGUGGGGAGCAAACAGG
rnacentral:rRNA from 1 species